rnacentral:rRNA from 1 species
UACGGAGGGUGCAAACGUUGCUCGGAAUCAUUGGGCGUAAAGCGCACGUAGGCGGUCCGCUAAGUCGGGUGUGAAAUCCCUCGGCUCAACCGAGGAAGUGCAUUCGAAACUGACGGACUUGAGUAUGGAAGAGGGUCGUGGAAUUCCCGGUGUAGAGGUGAAAUUCGUAGAUAUCGGGAGGAACACCAGUGGCGAAGGCGGCGACCUGGGCCAAUACUGACGCUGAGGUGCGAAAGCGUGGGGAGCAAACGGG